UAAUUGAAGAGUUUGAUCAUGGCUCAGAUUGAACGCUGGCGGCAGGCCUAACACAUGCAAGUCGAGCGGCAGCACAGAGAAACUUGUUUCUCGGGUGGCGAGCGGCGGACGGGUGAGUAAUGCCUGGGAAAUUGCCCUGAUGUGGGGGAUAACCAUUGGAAACGAUGGCUAAUACCGCAUGAUGCCUACGGGCCAAAGAGGGGGACCUUCGGGCCUCUCGCGUCAGGAUAUGCCCAGGUGGGAUUAGCUAGUUGGUGAGGUAAGGGCUCACCAAGGCGACGAUCCCUAGCUGGUCUGAGAGGAUGAUCAGCCACACUGGAACUGAGACACGGUCCAGACUCCUACGGGAGGCAGCAGUGGGGAAUAUUGCACAAUGGGCGCAAGCCUGAUGCAGCCAUGCCGCGUGUGUGAAGAAGGCCUUCGGGUUGUAAAGCAC
rnacentral:rRNA from 1 species